AACGAACGCUGGCGGCAUGCCUAACACAUGCAAGUCGAACGAGACCUUCGGGUCUAGUGGCGCACGGGUGCGUAACGCGUGGGAACCUGCCCUUAGGUUCGGAAUAACUCCCCGAAAGGGGUGCUAAUACCGGAUAAUGUCUUCGGACCAAAGAUUUAUCGCCUUUGGAUGGGCCCGCGUUGGAUUAGCUAGUUGGUAGGGUAAAAGCCUACCAAGGCGACGAUCCAUAGCUGGUCUGAGAGGAUGAUCAGCCACACUGGGACUGAGACACGGCCCAGACUACUACGGGAGGCAGCAGUGGGGAAUAGUGGACAAUGGGCGAAAGCCUGAAAAAGCAAUGCCGCGUGAGUGAUGAAGGCCUUAGGGUUGUAAAGCUCUUUUACACGGGAUGAUAAUGACAGUACCGGGAGAAUAAGCACCGGCUAACUCCGUG
rnacentral:rRNA from 1 species